AAUAGCUCCAGCUGUGGGUGAGGAAGGACACCCUAGGAAACUAACCACAUCACUGGCAAAGGUCAAAUAAGCAUCAGGUGUCUCGAUAUUUGGCUCUGGUACCAGUGGCACUGGAGAGAGAUUGCAAGGUAUGAGCAAGGAGAAAUAAAUUACUAUGUCCUAUUUUGCUUGUUCUUACUGUCAUUGUCACUCCAGAAGAAUUCAUCAUCUUGGUAGUAACAGUUCCAAUUUCCAGGGGAUUCCCCCCCAACACACCCAGACCAGCCUCACUGGCCCCUUCAGAAAUACCAGAAAUAUCAUAUUGUAUAUUUGAAAGUUGCCAAGAGAGUAAAUCUUAAAAGUUCUCAU